rnacentral:rRNA from 1 species
UACGUAGGGCGCAAGCGUUAUCCGGAAUCAUUGGGCGUAAAGGGCGCGUAGGUGGCCCGGUCAGCGUGCGGUGAAAGCUCGGGGCUCAACCCCGAGUCGGCCGUGCGAACUGCUGGGCUUGAGCACUGUAGAGGCAGGCGGAAUUCCGGGUGUAGCGGUGGAAUGCGUAGAGAUCCGGAAGAACACCGGUGGCGAAGGCGGCCUGCUGGGCAGUGGCUGACACUGAGGCGCGACAGCGUGGGGAGCAAACAGG